rnacentral:rRNA from 1 species
CGGGAGGCACCAGUGGGGAAUAUUGGGCAAUGGAGGAAACUCUGACCCAGCGACGCCGCGUGCGGGAUGAAGGCCUUCGGGUUGUAAACCGCUUUCAGCAGGGAAUAAGCGCAAGUGAAGGUACCUGCAGAAGAAGCACCGGCUAACUAUGUGCCAGCAGCCGCGGUAAUACAUAGGGUGCAAGCGUUGUCCGGAAUUAUUGGGCGUAAAGAGCUCGUAGGUGGUUUGUUACGUCGGUUGUGAAAUUCAGGGGCUCAACCCCUGACUUGCAGCCGAUACGGGCAAGCUAGAGUUUGGUAGGGGAGACUGGAAUUCCUGGUGUAGCGGUGGAAUGCGCAGAUAUCAGGAGGAACACCGAUGGCGAAGGCAGGUCUCUGGGCCAAUACUGACACUGAGGAGCGAAAGCGUGGGGAGCGAACAGGAUUAGAUACCCCA